UUGAUGGCGACCGGCGCACGGGUGAGUAACACGUAUCCAACCUGCCGAUGACUCGGGGAUAGCCUUUCGAAAGAAAGAUUAAUACCCGAUGGCAUAGUUCUUCCGCAUGGUGGAACUAUUAAAGAAUUUCGGUCAUCGAUGGGGAUGCGUUCCAUUAGGUUGUUGGCGGGGUAACGGCCCACCAAGCCUUCGAUGGAUAGGGGUUCUGAGAGGAAGGUCCCCCACAUUGGAACUGAGACACGGUCCAAACUCCUACGGGAGGGCAGCAUG
rnacentral:rRNA from 1 species